rnacentral:rRNA from 1 species
GACAGAGGUGCCAAGCGUUAGGCGGAAUCACUGGGCUUAAAGCGUGUGUAGGUGGAUUGGUAAGUACCUUGUGAAAUCCCACGGCUUAACCGUGGAACUGCUUGGUAUACUGCCGAUCUUGAGCAACCUAGGGGCGAGCGGAACAAAUGGUGGAGCGGUGAAAUGCGUAGAUAUCAUUUGGAACGCCAAUGGUGAAAACAGCUCGCUGGGGGUUUGCUGACACUGAGACACGAAAGCCAGGGGAGCAAACGGG